rnacentral:lncRNA from 1 species
UGAUCUUGGUUAUUUCUCUUCUGCUGCUGGGUUUAUUGCUUCCUUGAUUGGCUUAAUAAUCGACGUCUGAAUUCUUUUUCUGGCAAUUCAGAGAUUUCUUCUUAGUUUGAAUCCAUUGCUGGUGAGCUAGUGUGAUCUUUUGGGGUUGUUAAAAAAGCUUAUUUUGUCAUUUAACCAGAAUUGUUUUUCUGGUUCCUUCCCAUUGGGGUAGACUAUAUCAGAUUCUUUUGUCCCACGGGGGUGCUUUCUUGAUGUGGUACUCUCCCCUCUCCCCUAGGGAUGGGGCUUCCUGAGCUGAACUGCAGUGAUUACUAUUUCUCUUCUGGAUCUAGCCACCCAGAGGAGCUACCAGGCUCUGAGCUAGGACUGGAGAGUGUCUGCAAAGAGUCCUGUGAUGUGAUCCAUCUUCAGGUCUCUCAGCCAUCGACACCAGCACCUACUCUGGUGGAGGUAUCAAAGGAGUGAAGUAAACUCUGUCAGAGUCCUUGGUUGUAUUUCUGUUAUGUACACAGGUUUUGUGCUGGUUGGCUUCUAAUCAGGAGGUGGAGCUUUCAAGAGCUUAUUAGCUGUAGUUGUACAGGGAGGAUACAAACUUGCCCUAGGGUCACAUUUGGAUAAGUAUUCAAGUUUCUCAGGUGGUGGUCAGGGCCACAGAGCUCCUAAGAGACUAUUUCCUUUGUCUUCAGCUACCCAGGCAAGUAGACAAAGACCAUCAGGUGGGGGCAGGGUUAGGUGUAUCUGAGCUCAGACUCUCCCUGGGUGGGGUUUGUUGUGGCUGCUCUGGGGGUUGGGGGUGUGGUUCCCAGGCCAAUGGAGUUAUGUUCCCAGGGGAUUAUGGCUGCCUCCACUGCAUCACAAAGGUAUCCAGGGAAGGUGGGGGGAAAGCCAGCAGCCACAGGCCUCAUCUAGCUCCCAAGCAGCCUACAGCCUUUUGAAAGGCCAGUCUUACUCUCCCAACAGCACUGAGUUUAUUCCCAGGCAGCCAGUGAGCAGGGCUGUGAAUUUACCCCAGGCUACAAGCCUCCUAGUUGAGAAAGCAAGCUGACUCACAGUUCCUUGGCUGUCCAAUGGAGCCUGCAGUGGCAAUCCACCUCCUUCAAAGGGUCUGUGGCUUCUCUUGGCUUUCCUGAUGGUGUCAGAAGUGGGAUCCCAAGCAGAGCUUCUAGGGACCCCCAGGAGUGCCAAGUGAACAUGCAAGCUACCUUCAGGACCCACUUGUGUCCAUGGAUCUCUCAAAGCAGCUGAGGAUUGUGGAGGCAGCCUAAAGGCAGAACAAUACUGGAUGAACAACAACCAGAAAAACCCCAUCAUCGUCAUAAGAGCUGCAAAUCAAAGCAAGGGUAAGAGAGAAGGAGAAUGGACACUGGAGGCCUUUGCUUGGGGCCAGCCCUCACUACAAAGCAGGGUAGCUGUGAAGGUCAGCAACUCUGGAGGGAACAAAGGAGGUGAGGAAGAAGGAUGGAUUUUGUGUAUGUAAUAUGCUAGAACUAUUAACUGGGCAGCAGUAUAUGGAGGAUGGACAUGUCAUAGGAACCACAGAAACAAGGGAGCAGUAAUGAAACAAUCUCAGUGUUUUACCUUGCUGGGAUUCCCUAGAUUGCCCUCUACAAAUAUAGUGGAAGCCAACUGGCUUACACAUGCACACAUAUCCUUACACAUACUUGUCUUGUAUACAGACAUCUCUCCCACCAGAGAAUAUAAAGUUGAUAUUAUACAAUAGCUUCGUGUUCGCAUGGUUGGAAAGAAAUUCUGUCUUAGCAACUAACUUAAAGUGUACAAGUCAAAUAUUUCCAUACCAUAUGAAUUCCAGUGAAAGUGGAAAUACAAAAGAGGAAAAUAAAUCAAUGAAAGGUCUCAAUUUUAGUUAUUGUAAUCACACUAUGCAUUUUAAAGAAGAAUAGCUAAUAUUUAUCAGGAGUUAAGUAGGUAUUAGACGCUACUACCUUUAUUUAAUAUUUAAAAUAAUUUUCAGAGGCAUAUCCUAUUAAUUGUCCCUUUUUAUAGAUAAGGAAACUGAGGCAACUAGACAAUAAAGUUGACACAGCUUAGAAGUGGUAGAGCUUCAAUGUGCGAUGAGGUUCUAAAGCCCAAAGAACGCCUACUCACCUUGCCAAAGGUGCAUAUAAGAAUCAUCUGUAGAUCCUGGAAAUGGUUAAAAACAUAGACUUUUGGGCACCAUCUCCAGAAAUUUUGAUACAUUCAGUCUAGGGUAGAGCCUCAAAAUUUGCAUUUGUAACAAGUUCUCUGGUGAUACUGAUGCUGUGGUCUACGGGCCACAAUUUAAGUAGCAUUGCCCUGUUAUAUUAUUUUAAUUGUUCAGUAAGAGAAAGUGAAAUACCAUAAUAUGAACAGGUGAUAUCUCAUUUUCAAUAUCUUUAAAGCAAGUUUCAUUUCAAAACAUUUUUUCCAGGGCACUGAUAUGCAUAUCAUAGGUUUAGUUUAUUUAGUACAAGCUUGUUCAUUGUGCAUGACGAUAGAACCAAUUGAACUUACACCAGUAUUUAGGACUCAAGCUGUGUUUUGCGUUUCUUCUCAAAAUUGUCCCAGUAUUUCUGAUUUCUUUUCUGUAUCAAAUAACAACAUAUGGAUUCAGCAUACUAAUUGAAACUUACCAAUAUUGUAAAGCACUUCUUAAUUUAAAUUACAGGAGAUAA